rnacentral:tRNA from 1 species
GCAUACGUAGCUCAGAGGUAGAGCGCCAGGCCUUGCGACUGAAAGACGAAGGUUCAACUCCUUCCGUAAGUUCC